UUCCUACGGGAGGCAGCAGUGGGGAAUAUUGCACAAUGGGGGAAACCCUGAUGCAGCGACGCCGCGUGAGCGAUGAAGUAUUUCGGUAUGUAAAGCUCUAUCAGCAGGGAAGAAGAUGACGGUACCUGACUAAGAAGCCCCGGCUAACUACGUGCCAGCAGCCGCGGUAAUACGUAGGGGGCAAGCGUUAUCCGGAUUUACUGGGUGUAAAGGGAGCGUAGACGGCGAUGCAAGCCAGAUGUGAAAGCCCGGGGCUCAACCCCGGGACUGCAUUUGGAACUGUGUGGCUGGAGUGUCGGAGAGGG
rnacentral:rRNA from 1 species